GGCGCUAUGGCGCAAUUGGUUAGCGCGUUCGGCUGUUAACCGAGAGGUUGUAAGUUCGAUCCUUACUAGCGCCG
rnacentral:tRNA from 1 species